AUUAGAGAAUGAGACUGUAUUUAUCUAUCCCAAGGCUAGGUACAAUGUAGGUAAGGGCAAUCCAAGCUUCCCCAUGGUGCUUUGUCAAAGCUUUUUAACCCUAAGCUGAAAGGAUAACCACUCUAGAGUAUGAUUACAAUUGAGACUCCAGGCCUAUUAAAAAGUUGGACCUU
rnacentral:sRNA from 1 species